rnacentral:tRNA from 1 species
GCCCCCAUCGACUAGCGGCCCAGGUCGCGGCCCUUUCAAGGCUGAAGCACGGGUUCGAAUCCCGUUGGGGGCA